AAAGCUUGAAGCUUAGAGAUUGCCGGAUUAACUCAGGUAACGAGCGGUGAUUGAGUAGAAGCUAGUGCUUGGAGUCUAGUGUAGUCUACUUAGAGGGUCGUGCUCUGAUAGAUGUAACAUCGGGACGGGAUGUUUUAAUUGUUUUAUUGUUGGUUGUUGAACCUUUUUACCUGUAAUAUGUUAUAUGUUUUGAAUGGUUA